rnacentral:rRNA from 1 species
GAUGAACGCUGGCGGCGUGCCUAAUACAUGCAAGUCGAGCGAACAGACGAGGAGCUUGCUCCUCUGACGUUAGCGGCGGACGGGUGAGUAACACGUGGAUAACCUACCUAUAAGACUGGGAUAACUUCGGGAAACCGGCGCUAAUACCGGAUAAUAUAUUGAACCGCAUGGUUCAAUAGUGAAAGACGGUUUUGCUGUCGCUUCUAGAUGGUUCCGCGCCGCAUUAGCUGGUUGGUAAGGUAACGGCUUACCAGGGCAACGAUGCGUAGCCGACCUGAGAGGGUGAUCGGCCACACUGGAACGGGGACACGGUCCAGACUCCUACGGUAGGGAGCAGUAGGGAAUCUUCCGCAAUGGGCGAAAGCCUGACGGAGCAACGCCGCGUGAGUGAUGAAGGUCUUCGGAUCGUAAAACUCUGUUAUUAGGGAAGAACAAAUGUGUAAGUAACUAUGCACGUCUUGACGGUACCUACUCAGAAAGCCACGGCUAACUACGUG